rnacentral:rRNA from 1 species
UACGUAGGGUGCAAGCGUUAAUCGGAAUUACUGGGCGUAAAGCGUGCGCAGGCGGCUUUGCAAGACAGAUGUGAAAUCCCCGGGCUUAACCUGGGAACUGCAUUUGUGACUGCAUGGCUGGAGUGCGGCAGAGGGGGAUGGAAUUCCGCGUGUAGCAGUGAAAUGCGUAGAUAUCUGGAGGAACACCGGUGGCGAAGGCGGCAUCCUGGACCGAGAUUGACGCUGAUGCGCGAAAGCCAGGGGAGCAAACGGG